AACGAACGCUGGCGGCAGGCCUAACACAUGCAAGUCGAACGGAUCCUUCGGGAUUAGUGGCGGACGGGUGAGUAACACGUGGGAACGUGCCCUUUGGUUCGGAACAACUCAGGGAAACUUGAGCUAAUACCGGAUAAGCCCUUCGGGGAAGGAUUAUCGCCAUUGGAGCGGCCCGCCGUCUGAUUAGCUAGUUGGUGGGGUAAAGGGACCGUACCAAGGCGACGAUCAGUAGCUGGUCUGAGAGGAUGANCAGCCACACUGGGACGUGAGACACGGCCCACGACUCCUACGGGAGGGCAGCAGUAGGGAAGUCUUGCGCAAUGGGCGGAAAGCCUGACGCAGCC
rnacentral:rRNA from 1 species